UUGGCGGGGAAGGAAAAACCACAACAUAGUCACAGGGGAAACCUGCACUCGCCGAACCAGGACAGAAUUAGAACCCACAACCUUGGACCUAUGAAGCUGUAGUGCUACCCUGAGUAAUGGAAAUACUUUGGAUAAUGUAUAUUUUAAAUGAAUGGCUCAGACAGGACUGCUUUGCCUAAGAUGUGUACUUUUUUAGUUUAGGAAUUAAAAAUAAAACUAAGCCAAAAAUGGAUGAAACUAGCCUCAACCAUAAUUUGAAAGUGUGUUUAGGGAAAAAUGUCCUGGUGUUGUAUAGAAAGUAAGUCAAUGGCUCCUGUUUGUUACAAGGUUAUUUGAUAGUUAUGGCUGUGUAUUUAUCAUCUGCACAGAAAUACAGAUGCAGUGUGAAUAGUUGGAGGAUAUGUCCAUAUUUUUCAAUGUUAGUUUAAUUUUUCUAAUGUGUAGUCUAUGUACACAUUUAGUCUUUGGAACAUUACAUCUUCAUUGACAUGAUGAACAUUUUAAAUGUUUAAACAGCCUAUUUGGAGUUUUGUGAAUUUAUAUUUGUAUUUAAGCUGAUCAAGUCAGUUAGAAAGCCACAGCUUUGACAGCAGCUAAUUAUUUUGAGCACUGCAAGGCUCAACUGGUGAAAUAGUUUUCCAGCAUUCUAACUAAUUCUUAAAACAAGCCAAAGGGGUUGAUGUAAAUGAGUUAGUCAAAGUUUUGACCUCAUUAAGGCAGAGAAAAGUAUUGCAUAUACAUGCCAAAAACCCACAUCUUUUUAUUGGGACUCAGAAACUGUGAAGGAUCAUCAGAAAAUGGUACUUAUAGACCACACCGCAACAGUAAACAGAGCAUUUUAUUAAAUAUAAGUAUGCAAAACAGAACAGGAAUCCUAAUCCCAGAUUUUAUUAUGAAUGAAACACUAUGUAAACACUAUGUAAAGAAUUUCAAAUGUGCUGUGCUUCUCCUCUAUGCAUUCUGCUUCUCAAGGCAAUAAUCAUAUUUCCCCAUUGUUCAUAUACUCAGCCUCCUAUUCAAAGAUAUAUAUACAAAAAGUAUUUUUUCCUCACAUAUGCAAACUGUUUAUCAUAAAAACUUGAAAAAGGAUCAAGUGAAAAAUUCUGAUGCAAACAGCAGAAAUUCUGUAACUAUUCUAUAACUAACAGGAUUAAACACGCCUGUCUUCAU